rnacentral:rRNA from 1 species
GUAGGUGGCAAGCGUUGUCCGGAAUUAUUGGGCGUAAAGCGCGCGCAGGCGGGUUUUUAAGGUCUGAUGUGAAAGCCCACGGGCUCAACCGUGGAGGGUCAUUGGAAACUGGAGAACUUGAGUACAGAAGAGGAAAGCGGAAUUCCACGUGUAGCGGUGAAAUGCGUAGAGAUGUGGAGGAACACCAGUGGCGAAGGCGGCUUUCUGGUCUGUAACUGACGCUGAGGCGCGAAAGCGUGGGGAGCAAACAGGAUUAGAUACCCUGGUAGUCCACGCCGUAAACGAUGAGUGCUAAGUGUUAGGGGGUUUCCGCCCCUUAGUGCUGCAGCUAACGCAUUAAGCACUCCGCCUGGGGAGUACGGCCGCAAAGGCUG